rnacentral:rRNA from 1 species
GUAAUGUCUGGGAAACUGCCUGAUGGAGGGGGAUAACUACUGGAAACGGUGGCUAAUACCGCAUAACGUCGCAAGACCAAAGAGGGGGACCUUCGGGCCUCUUGCCAUCAGAUGUGCCCAGAUGGGAUUAGCUUGUUGGUGAGGUAACGGCUCACCAAGGCGACGAUCCCUAGCUGGUCUGAGAGGAUGACCAGCCACACUGGAACUGAGACACGGUCCAGACUCCUACGGGAGGCAGCAGUGGGGAAUAUUGCACAAUGGGCGCAAGCCUGAUGCAGCCAUGCCGCGUGUAUGAAGAAGGCCUUCGGGUUGUAAAGUACUUUCAGCGGGGAGGAAGGGAGUAAGGUUAAUAACCUUAUUCAUUGACGUUACCCGCAGAAGAAGCACCGGCUAACUCCGUGCCAGCAGCCGCGGUAAUACGGAGGGUGCAAGCGUUAAUCGGAAUUACUGGGCGUAAAGCGCACGCAGGCGGUCUGUCAAGUCGGAUGUGAAAUCCCCGGGCUCAACCUGGGAACUGCAUUCGAAACUGGCAGGCUUGAGUCUUGUAGAGGGGGGUAGAAUUCCAGGUGUAGCGGUGAAAUGCGUAGAGAUCUGGAGGAAUACCGGUGGCGAAGGCGGCCCCCUGGACAAAGACUGACGCUCAGGUGCGAAAGCGUGGGGAGCAAACAGGAUUAGAUACCCUGGUAGUCCACGCCGUAAACGAUGUCUACUUGGAGGUUGUGCCCUUGAGGCGUGGCUUCCGGAGCUAACGCGUUAAGUAGACCGCCUGGGGAGUACGGCCGCAAGGUUAAAACUCAAAUGAAUUGACGGGGGCCCGCACAAGCGGUGGAGCAUGUGGUUUAAUUCGAUGCAACGCGAAGAACCUUACCUGGUCUUGACAUCCACAGAACUUUCCAGAGAUGGAUUGGUGCCUUCGGGAACUGUGAGACAGGUGCUGCAUGGCUGUCGUCAGCUCGUGUUGUGAAAUGUUGGGUUAAGUCCCGCAACGAGCGCAAC